GACGAACGCUGGCGGCGUGCUUAACACAUGCAAGUCGAACGGAAAGGCCCUGCUUUUGUGGGGUGCUCGAGUGGCGAACGGGUGAGUAACACGUGAGUAACCUGCCCUUGACUUUGGGAUAACUUCAGGAAACUGGGGCUAAUACCGGAUAGGAGCUCCUGCUGCAUGGUGGGGGUUGGAAAGUUUCGGCGGUUGGGGAUGGACUCGCGGCUUAUCAGCUUGUUGGUGGGGUAGUGGCUUACCAAGGCUUUGACGGGUAGCCGGCCUGAGAGGGUGACCGGCCACAUUGGGACUGAGAUACGGCCCAGACUCCUACGGGAGGCAGCAGUGGGGAAUAUUGCACAAUGGGCGGAAGCCUGAUGCAGCAACGCCGCGUGCGGGAUGACGGCCUUCGGGUUGUAAACCGCUUUCGCCUGUGACGAAGCGUGAGUGACGGUAAUGGGUAAAGAAGCACCGGCUAACUACGUGCCAGCAGCCGCGGUGAUACGUAGGGUGCGAGCGUUGUCCGGAUUUAUUGGGCGUAAAGGGCUCGUAGGUGGUUGAUCGCGUCGGAAGUGUAAUCUUGGGGCUUAACCCUGAGCGUGCUUUCGAUACGGGUUGACUUGAGGAAGGUAGGGGAGAAUGGAAUUCCUGGUGGAGCGGUGGAAUGCGCAGAUAUCAGGAGGAACACCAGUGGCGAAGGCGGUUCUCUGGGCCUUUCCUGACGCUGAGGAGCGAAAGCGUGGGGAGCGAACAGGCCUAGAUACCCUGGUAGUCCACGCUGUAAACGGUGGGUACUAGGUGUGGGGUCCAUUCCACGGGUUCCGUGCCGUAGCUAACGCUUUAAGUACCCCGCCUGGGGAGUACGGCCGCAAGGCUAAAACUCAAAGGAAUUGACGGGGCCCCGCACAAGCGGCGGAGCAUGCGGAUUAAUUCGAUGCAACGCGUAGAACCUUACCUGGGUUUGACAUGGAUCGGGAGUGCUCAGAGAUGGGUGUGCCUCUUUUGGGGUCGGUUCACAGGUGGUGCAUGGCUGUCGUCAGCUCGUGUCGUGAGAUGUUGGGUUAAGUCCCGCAACGAGCGCAACCCUUGUUCACUGUUGCCAGCACGUUAUGGUGGGGACUCAGUGGAGACCGCCGGGGUCAACUCGGAGGAAGGUGGGGAUGACGUCAAGUCAUCAUGCCCCUUAUGUCCAGGGCUUCACGCAUGCUACAAUGGCUGGUACAGAGAGUGGCGAGCCUGUGAGGGUGAGCGAAUCUCGGAAAGCCGGUCUCAGUUCGGAUUGGGGUCUGCAACUCGACCUCAUGAAGUCGGAGUCGCUAGUAAUCGCAGAUCAGCAACGCUGCGGUGAAUACGUUCCCGGG
rnacentral:rRNA from 1 species